GUGAGGUGCUAGGACAAG
rnacentral:misc_RNA from 1 species